rnacentral:rRNA from 1 species
UACGAAGGGGGCUAGCGUUGCUCGGAAUUACUGGGCGUAAAGGGAGCGUAGGCGGACUGUUAAGUUAGAGGUGAAAGCCCAGGGCUCAACCUUGGAAUUGCAUUCGAGACUGAAUAGCUAGGGUACGGUAGAGGGAAGUGGAAUUUCCGGUGUAGCGGUGAAAUGCGUAGAUAUCGGAAGGAACAUCAGUGGCGAAAGCGACUUCCUGGACCAGUACCGACGUCAGGCACGAAAGCGUGGGGAGCAAACAGG